GCGUCUUUUUUUUCUUUUUCCAUCAACAUUUUCAUCCUGAUCUUUGUCUGCAGCUUCAGAAACUCCCUGCAAGAUGAGACUGUCAAACACUGAAGGACUUGUAUUCAUGUGAGGAGUGAAAACGAGGAAGAAAACAUCUCAGCGAUCUUCACAGGUUCUUACCGGCGUUACAGAAAGUGUUUUUUAGCAGUUAGCAGCUCUUCCAGAAAAGAAGCAGCAAAAAACUGAGCUCAGCUCCUCGCUAAGGAGCAGAAAAUCCUUCCAACGCUGAAACAGGAGCAGCUGCCUUGACGCGUUGCUUUGUAAAAUCCUGAGCAAAACUGGAACUGGAAGAGAACAGGCCGUGAAGGCUUCGGACCCCUCCGGACAUGAGAGAGGUAAUGAAGGCGAUUCUUAACUCCGAAAAAACAAUACUGGAGCGGAUUGACUCGAGUACAAAGGAUCUGAACGACAAAACAGACUCCAUGAAAAAAGAUCAGGAGAAGCACGAGACCCGCCUGGACAGUACUGAGUUCAGUCUGAAGACGUAUUCAGACCAGACGGUGGAACUGGAGAAUGUGGUUAGCAAGCUAAAGUCGGAGGUGUGGUGCAGGAAAGCUGUGGCUUCCCAUUGGACGACAGCUGAUGGCGGCAGCCUUUAAAGCACCGCGUGGACCUCCAGGCCUCGAGAAGGGAGCUCUGCCAGCUUGGCUCGCCUCUCCACUUGAAUUUUGACCUGUGUUAGUAGACUAUUGUGGCUUGUAGUGUUCUGUGUGAUGUUUUUGUGUAGCUGUAAGGGCGAACUGCUGUUUUCUCCUGUUUGUUGGUCUAGGGAGCAUAGUUGUGUUGUUUUUCCCUUCUCUUUUAAUUCAGGUUAGAUGUUUUCUGGUAUUAGAUGGGUGGGGCUUUGUUUGUUCUUUUGGCCUUGGGUCACCCCGAAGCCUUUUUUGCUUCACCCCUUUAAGUUAUUUUUUUCCUUAUUCAUCAUUUUAUUGUAAAAAAAAA